UCUUCACUCCCCGUCGUUCUCACUACUUUUUCUCCCAAAUCUCUUUUUCUCUCAUUCUUCAAGAUUUCUUCUUGCCUCCAUUCUCGAUCUGUCCAAGCCAGCAAACCUCCUACCCAUCUCCUAUCUCUACCCAUCCCGCCUCCGCCGCCUCCGCCCUCCAGCCGUGAAGCCCGUGCUCCAGCCCGUCGCCUCCACCCUCUAGCCAUCCACGCCUUCUUCAAUCCUCCAAAAGAAGAUUUAACUAUGGACAAAGGAUUGUGCCAAAGUUCAUCCCUUUAUGAGGAAGAAUGUAAUUGAAACUUUGAAGUUAUUGAAGAUUGAAGACUUAUAGUGAAAUCUCAUUAGUUGUUGAAAAUUAGAAGCUUGGAAGCAUUGAAGACUUACUGUUUACAAUUUGUUGAGGAGUAAAACUUUAUUUUAGUUGACAUUGUUAUUGUAGCCUAAAUUCUUAUUUGUGUUGGUUCAUAGAUGUUUAUCAUGUUAUGUUUUUCUUUGAUUUCUUGUAAAAAAAAUUUCAGUUUUUCGGUU